rnacentral:ncRNA from 1 species
GGGAAAAUCCGCGGGAGCCACAGCGCGCGGGGCACCGGGCCACCGGGCCGCCGCGCAGGGUGGCUGAGAGGGCGCCCGCAGGCGCCGACCGCUCGAACCUGUCUGGGUCAUGCCGGCGAAGGGAGGGUGCAUGCGCGUCGU